rnacentral:rRNA from 1 species
AGAGUUUGAUCCUGGCUCAGGACGAACGCUGGCGGCGGCUUAACACAUGCAAGUCGAACGGGAUCACCCUUUCGGGGGUGGUUCAGUGGCGAACGGGUGCGUAACACGUGAGCAACCUGCCCCUGUAUGGGGGAUAACCCUGGGAAACCGGGGCUAAUACCGCAUGCGCUCUCGGGGUCUCCUGGCUCUGAGAGGAAAGUCCCUGAAAGGGGAUGUGCAGGGAGGGGCUCGCGGCGUAUCAGCUAGUUGGCGGGGUAACGGCCCACCAAGGCAACGACGCGUAGCCGGUCUGAGAGGACGACCGGCCACAUUGGGACUGAGAUACGGCCCAGACUCCUACGGGAGGCAGCAGUGGGGAAUCUUGCGCAAUGGGCGAAAGCCUGACGCAGCGACGCCGCGUGGGGGAGGAAGCUUUUCGGAGUGUAAACCCCUGUCAGGAGGGAAGAACGGGCACCCGAGGAAAUGCGGGCGUUUUGACGGUACCUCCAGAGGAAGCACCGGCUAACUCUGUGCCAGCAGCCGCGGUAAUACAGAGGGUGCGAGCGUUGUUCGGAAUUACUGGGCGUAAAGCGCGCGUAGGCGGCUUCUUAAGUCUUACCGUGAAAUGCCGGGGCUCAACCCCGCGCACGUCGGGGGAUACUGGGGAGCUGGAGACAAGUAGAGGCGAGCGGAAUUCCGGGUGUAGCGGUGGAAUGCGUAGAGAUCCGGAAGAACACCAGAGGCGAAGCGGCUCGCUGGGCUUCUGNNNNUGANNCGCGAAAGCGUGGGGAGCGAACAGGAUUAGAUACCCUAGUAGUCC